rnacentral:rRNA from 1 species
UUAUCCGGAUUUAUUGGGUUUAAAGGGAGCGUAGGCGGGUGCUUAAGUCAGUUGUGAAAGUUUGCGGCUCAACCGUAAAAUUGCAGUUGAUACUGGGUACCUUGAGUGCAGCAUAGGUAGGCGGAAUUCGUGGUGUAGCGGUGAAAUGCUUAGAUAUCACGAAGAACUCCGAUUGCGAAGGCAGCUUACUGGACUGUAACUGACGCUGAUGCUCGAAAGUGUGGGUAUCAAACAGGAUUAGAUACCCUGGUAGUCCACACAGUAAACGAUGAAUACUCGCUGUUGGCGAUACACAGUCAGCGGCCAAGCGAAAGCAUUAAGUAUUCCACCUGGGGAGUACGCCGGCAACGGUGAAACUCAA